rnacentral:rRNA from 1 species
UACGGAGGAUUCAAGCGUUAUCCGGAUUUAUUGGGUUUAAAGGGUGCGUAGGCGGCCUAUUAAGUCAGGGGUGAAAGACGGUGGCUCAACCAUCGCAGUGCCUUUGAUACUGAUAGGCUUGAUUACACUAGAGGUAGGCGGAAUGUGACAAGUAGCGGUGAAAUGCAUAGAUGUGUCACAGAACACCAAUUGCGAAGGCAGCUUACUAUGGUGUCAAUGACGCUGAGGCACGAAAGCGUGGGGAUCAAAUAGG